ACUCCUACGGGAGGCAGCAGUGGGGAAUAUUGCACAAUGGGGGGAAAACCCCUGAUGCAGCCAUGCCGCGUGUGUGAAGAAGGCCUUCGGGUUGUAAAGCACUUUCAGUAGGGAGGAAGGUAGUGUAGUUAACACCUGCAUCAUUUGAUCGUAUACCUACAGAAGAAGCACCGGCUAACUCCGUGCCAGCAGCCGCGGUAAUACGGAGGGUGCGAGCGUUAAUCGGAAUUACUGGGCGUAAAAGCGUGCGCAGGCGGUCUGUUAAGCGAGAUGUGAAAGCCCCGGGGCUCAA
rnacentral:rRNA from 1 species